AUUGAACGCUGGCGGCAGGCCUAACACAUGCAAGUCGAGCGGAUGAAGGGAGCUUGCUCCUGGAUUCAGCGGCGGACGGGUGAGUAAUGCCUAGGAAUCUGCCUGGUAGUGGGGGAUAACGUCCGGAAACGGGCGCUAAUACCGCAUACGUCCUGAGGGAGAAAGUGGGGGAUCUUCGGACCUCACGCUAUCAGAUGAGCCUAGGUCGGAUUAGCUAGUUGGUGGGGUAAAGGCCUACCAAGGCGACGAUCCGUAACUGGUCUGAGAGGAUGAUCAGUCACACUGGAACUGAGACACGGUCCAGACUCCUACGGGAGGCAGCAGUGGGGAAUAUUGGACGAUGGGCGAAAGCCUGAUCCAGCCAUGCCGCGUGUGUGAAGAAGGACUUCGGAUUGUAAAGCACUUUAAGUUGGGAGGAAGGGCAGUAAGUUAAUACCUUGCUGUUUUGACGUUACCAACAGAAUAAGCACCGGCUAACUUCGUG
rnacentral:rRNA from 1 species